rnacentral:lncRNA from 1 species
CCUCUCUCCCUCUUCUUAUUUUUAUCACACCAACCACAAAUCCCUCAUUCCCUAAACCCUUCAUAACACCCAAGAGAUCUAAUCUCUUUUAAUCUAGGGUGUUGAAAACCAAAUCAAAGGGUAGAAAGGCGUUGAGAUAAAGUUGUGAUGUAAGAAAGAAAUCUCCUCUCACAUAUAGCGCAUGUCCCUCUAUCUCCAUUUUUUUUAUCACACAAAAUAAUUCUUCCAUACCCUA